GCAUGGGCGAAGCCUGAUCCAGCCAUGCCGCGUGUGUGAAGAAGGUCUUCGGAUUGUAAAGCACUUUAAGUUGGGAGGAAGGGCAUUUACCUAAUACGUUAGUGUUUUGACGUUACCGACAGAAUAAGCACCGGCUUACUCUGUGCCAGCAGCCGCGGUAAUA
rnacentral:rRNA from 1 species